rnacentral:misc_RNA from 1 species
GAUGAAGAACGCAGUGAAAUGCGAUAAGUAAUGUGAAUUGCAGAAUUCAGUGAAUCAUCGAAUCUUUGAACGCACAUUGCGCCCGCCAGUAUUCUGGCGGGCAUGCCUGUUCGAGCGUCAUUUCAACCAUCAAGCCCCAGGCUUGUGUUGGGGUCCUGCGGCUGCCGCAGGCCCUGAAAAACAGUGGCGGGCUCGCUGUCACACCGAGCGUAGUAAUACAUCUCGCUUUGGACGUGCGGCGGGUUCUUGCCGUUAAACACCCCCCUUCUCAAGGUUGACCUCGGAUCAGGUAGGAAUACCCGCUGAACUUAAGCAUAUCAUAAGCGGAGGA